CCACAUAAGGGCCAUCAGCCCUUUACAGAACUCAGCCAUAUAAGAAUACCAUAUAAGGUCCAUAUAUCAGCCACAUCUGUUUUUAUUAUUUGGCUCACUCUGGGUUGGGUUAUGGCACUGUUUAGGUUCAGUUCUGGCUAAAAAUAUGUGGACCAGUUUUGGGCCGGC